GUGAAAUGAUGAAGCUGUUUAUCCAUUCGCUGAGCGGCCAUCUCGUCGCAGUCACCCCCCGCUCUCGUUCUGGGGGCGGGGCCUCUCCUCGUGGUGAUGUCAUCGACUCGGCGUUCUGCCGGAGUCGACCCGGAUCCACGAGGAGAGACGACUCGACCCGAGCGGCCGCGAAGACGAGUUGACUGCGCUGAUCAC